rnacentral:rRNA from 1 species
UACGUAGGGUGCGAGCGUUAAUCGGAAUUACUGGGCGUAAAGCGUGCGUAGGCGGUUCGCUGUGUCCGAUGUGAAAGCCCCGGGCUUAACCUGGGAAUGGCAUUGGAAACUGGCGGGCUUGAGUGCGGCAGAGGGGGGUGGAAUUCCGCGUGUAGCAGUGAAAUGCGUAGAGAUGCGGAGGAACACCGAUGGCGAAGGCAGCCCCCUGGGUCGACACGUGGACGCUCGAGGAGCGAAAGCCA